rnacentral:rRNA from 1 species
UACGAAGGGGGCUAGCGUUGUUCGGAAUUACUGGGCGUAAAGGGCGCGUAGGCGGUCCUGAUCGUCGGAUGUGAAAGGCCUGGGCUCAACCUGGGAAUGGCAUCCGAUACGGCGGGACUGGAGUGUGGGAGAGGUUGGUGGAAUUCCCAGUGUAGAGGUGAAAUUCGUAGAUAUUGGGAAGAACACCGAUGGCGAAGGCGGGUCUCUGGGCCGAUACUGACGCUGAGGAGCGAAAGCGUGGGGAGCAAACAGG